CCCCGCGCCCCGCCGGUGCUUCCGGACCCCGAGUCCGUCUCAGGACAGAGGCGGGGACCCCUCUGGUGCUCCGCGGCCGAGGACACAGGCGGCGGCGGCGGCCCUGCUCUAGGGAGGCCGGGUCUCUUCAGGGAAACAGAAGGUGCUCUUGUCCCGGGGUAGGGAACCGAGGAGCAGGGGUCCCGGGCGAAUGGGGCGCAGCUCCCGGCCGGCCGCUGUCCCGGCGCCCCUCCCCGCGGCCGCUGCGGCCCCGCGACCAUUGCUCAGGACUGGGACGGGCGCUGGGGGCCACCGGGACCCCCAAACCGCGCCACCAGGGCGGGGUGGCUCCUGGAGCCGCUGGCGGGGCCUCCCUCAUGCAGCUAGGAUCCUCCCCCCUGCCCAGGGGGAGACGGGCAGAAGGCGUUCAGCACGGGUGACACUACAGGGACCGUGGAGGAAGCCUCAUGGGAGUAGCAACCGCGGAGCUCCAGCUCAGCCCCACCCCAGGGCCCGGCUGCUCCCCCAAGCCUGGGUCGGGUCUGUUUGGUGACUCCCUGGCCCCAGCCUCCGCCCCAGGGAAACCGAGGCUGCGUCCAAAACCCAGAGCAGUCCGCUGGGGGCCGGGGCAGGGUCUCGGCCACCCUGGCGGUGCAAACAGGAAAGAUGCGCCUGGUUUUGGCUUUAAUAUUCAAAAUGGAAAAAAAUACAAGAAAGUUGUACAGUAUUUUUCCUGUAAAGGUUAUUAUUCUACAUAGAACAAAAAGGAAGAAAGCAGGCGUGGUGAGAGUGCAGACCCGCCUGGGCCCGGCCUGAGGUUGGAGGCUUAGUCCCGUUUCUCCUGUGGGAUUUGGUCCAGCGUUUUUUGUAGAGGCCUUAACAGUUUGAGGCUGUCUGUCUUCACACUAGCACUGAUGGGAGCUGCGUGAUUCCAACUCUUAACUUGAAUUUUGUAGAGACAAGAAAAAAGGACUAUUACUGUUGAUCCAAGUUUGUAGUUAAUUUAACAUUUGAGUUCUCUCUUGGUGAUGCGUGUGGCUUUAUAGGGCUUUUUUUUUUUUUUUUUUUUUUUUUUCUCCAGUUUGUUUUAUUACUUUGUUUGGGAUGCUUCUUUGCCGGUGCAGUCUACCCAGAUUGGGUUCCCUUUGCAAAACAUCCCCCUUCCUGGAGAUGAUGAGGCCAUGGAAGCCCCGGCCAGGGCCUGACCUGGCAGGCACACACCUGGCCGGUGGCUCUGAGGUCCCCGGGGACCAAGUCCCCUGCAAGGGCAGGCUGCCCGAGGCCACACCUGCCCACCUUCCCUACUCCAGGCCACCAGGCUGGUGUCAGAUUGGGCCACAGGGAGAAAACAGGCCUAGGAGGGAAUGGAAGGCUGGUGGGGAGGCUGUCACCCAGACGCCUUCUCCCCAGAGGUCUCCAGGGGGAGCCUGGCUCAACUGGGGGGCAGUGGUUUACUUUUCCCUUUUUUCUUCCUUUCUUUUGUCCUCUUGGCUGCCCACAGCCAGAAAGCCAGGACCACCCGAACUGGACAGGGAGCAGGGAGGGAGGAGUGGUCGCACGGAGCGUACCUGAUUCAACAGGAAAUCAGUUGUUUUCUAAAACAGCCCCUACCAGAGCCUUCUGAACUCUGUGGGUACCACAUGCUGCUGUGAGCAUCUGCCCAGACAGUGACCCGCCACGGCCCGGGAGUCUGUGGAAGGAGUUUUGUAAAGGAAAAAAAUACACACACAAAAAAACGUUUUUUUCAAUGUAGCAAAAUCAAACUUAAAAAAAAAGAAGAAGAAGAAAAGAAGAUGCCGACAGUGCGGAGUCUAGCCUUUUGUAACCUUCAUAUUGCACAUUAGGACUACAAGCCAUUGCUAGCUCAUUUUGAAUUUUAACGUGUAAUUUUUGUUUUAUUUUCUUUCUGUGGGGAAAACAAUGCUUGAUCCACCAAUGCUCUUUUUAAUGUUUUAUAACUAUGUAUGUGUAUAUAUAUAAAUAUAAAAUAAUAUGUAUGCACAUAUGUGUGUGUAUAUAUCUAUAUGUAUAUACAUAUAUAGAUAUAUAGAGAUAUAUAGAGAGGUUUUGAGACAAAAAAAAUGCAGAACGUGAAACCCGAACUGAACAGCGUGUGCUCUGAUUACUUGAAUCUGGUCUCCUCGGCACCUGGUUAUUAAGAACUGAAUAUUUUUCCACUUGAAUUUAGUGCUAUUAGAAAUUUAAUAUAUGUGUUUUAUUUAUUUGAUUUUUUUUUUUUUUUUGCAUGACUGAUGCAAGGUUUGACAUUUUCACUCAAUAAAAACUGGAAAAAAAAUCUA